rnacentral:rRNA from 1 species
CUACGGGUGGCAGCAGUGAGGAAUAUUGGUCAACGGACGAGAGUCUGAACCAGCCAAGUAGCGUGAAGGAUGACUGCCCUAUGGGUUGUAAACUUCUUUUAUAUGGGAAUAAAAUGUUCCACGUGUGGGAUUUUGUAUGUACCAUAUGAAUAAGGAUCGGCUAACUCCGUGCCAGCAGCCGCGGUAAUACGGAGGAUCCGAGCGUUAUCCGGAUUUAUUGGGUUAAAAGGGUGCGCAGGCGGAGGCACAAGUCAGCGGUAAAAUCGCGGGGCUCAACCCCGCUCCGCCGUUGAAACUGUGUCCCUUGAGUGCGCGAAGGGUAGGCGGAAUGCGUGGUGUAGCGGUGAAAUGCAUAGCUAUCACGCAGAACUCCGAUCGCGAAGGCAGCCUACCGGCGCGCAACUGACGCUCAUGCACGAAAGCGUGGGUAUCGAACAGGAUUAGAUACCCCUGUAGUC